CCACUUCGCGCUGCCAAACCACCAAACCUGCUUGCAGGCCUUUGGAACGCUCGGCUGGUUGGAUCCUCAAGCCCAUACGACUGCAACGCCGCCGCAUAUAUCCGGGACCUUUCUACGCUCACCGCUCACAGCAAUGCGUGGUGCGCGUCAGUGCCCGAUCCCACUACCAGUUCCUAGUAUGCGCCGCCUUUUCCACCGCUUGCUGGCAAGUAUGUCGAUGACCGAAGAAGUCUCAAGACCUCCAUCUGUAGCAAGUGAUCCAGACACCGACGCUUUAGAAGAGAAGAGACGGGAGAUAACCAAGACCCACAUCCUGAUGGAGCUCCAAUGAACUUCGCCAUUUGCUGAUGAGAGGACAGAGAUUGCGGCCCUGCUGAUGGCCUGCGUGAUGCGCCACAAAGUUAGCGAUCAAGGUAUAGCAGAUUUGCUGGAUAUGCAAAAUGUAAUCACCCCAGGAAAGGUAUGAUCAAACUACCUACUUUUAAAGGCUUUGGGGGCUGACGUGCCUGGUGCACAGAAGCACUUCUACUGCCUCACUUGUUUGGGGUGCUUGGGAAAAGCAAACUGUGAGAGUCAGGCUCGCU